GUUUGGUAUUCUGCACGAACUGUCAUUUAAUCUUGUUAUGUACCUGCCUCGGACAUGCUUGCCCUUUGCACCAGUUCAGCAGAAUUGGGCACCUCUAACAGAAGGAGUGGCGGACACGUACGUGGACACAAUGCUGAUUUGGUCUUAGGAAACGGAUUUGCGCCUGAUACAUUACAUGACCUGUUAGAAGAUGUGGUUCCUGUGGAGUUGGUAUAUUGAUUGAAAGUUAACUGACUGAUGAUAGGCAUCUGUUUGCAUCUUUUGGUGAGCUCUGGACACAAAGGACAACAGGUUAUGUGUGUUUCCCAUACUGAUCCAUACACACUGAUAUUACAUUUUGUGUUCAUUUGCAUAUCUCUGUAUAUAGGGUUAGUUUAAGUUUAUUUUAAAGGAAUAGUGUGACAUGUUUCCAUUUUUUCCUGAAUGAAACUGGCCUAAUGUUGCUGUUAAUAUUUACUGUAAAGACAUGAAAAUAAGGUUAAUAUCCCCAGAAUGCCAAACUUUCCGAAUGCUGUGGCUCAUUUGUUAGUUUUGUGCAGUGGUUUAACAUGACACGUGGGUAUGUGUUUAUGAAAUUUAUGAGAAAAAAUGAUGACCUGCAUUGCAUGUGUUCUAAUAAUAAGGGGGUUAUUCAUAUAUUGAUAUAUGAAGACAUGUAGAUAUUUGGUGAAUGGUGACUCUUGGAGUUUCUUUUUGUGUUUUAAUCUACAGGGUCAUCCUAGACUAUGAGAAGGACAAGAGGCUGAUUUUCCCCUUUCAUCCUGAGACAGUAAAUGCCCUCAUUAUGGAAGUUAAAUAUAAGCUGAACUUGAAUUUUUACUUUUGUCUUCAGUUUGAAGACCCAGAGUUGACAAUGCCAUAUGCAAUUUACUUAUUACAGAGGACCUACCGUUCAGAGCAGCUAUUAAGGUAGUUAAACUGAUUGAAACAGAUCCGAGUUCAUCCAGUUCAAAUGGCAUAGUUUUACUGUCUGUAGAUUCGCCAGAGCAUUUUAUCCAUUGGCCAGAGGUUUCGGUUGUUACCUUAUUCUCAUAAGAGGUGAAGACAAGCAGUGCUGCAUUUAUGACAGAGGGAAAAGCUUGAAAGUUAACAAUGGAUCAAAAACACAACUAACUAGAGGCAAUGGUAUCUGAAAUGUAUAAGCAUAAAGCCUAUCCUAGUUCUAAACAGAUUGGUAAAGCUACAAAAGCUCUAGUAAUGAAACUUUCUAAAAAAAAAAAAAAGGUUCCACAGGUUAUGAGGGUUGGAAGAACAGCCUACCCUUCAAAAUGGGUAACUACAGUACAGGACCAAACUGACCAGGCCUGGCAUAAAGGAUGUGGCUGUGAAUGCAGGAAUAUGAAGCAGGACCAAUCCAGAGGGUACAGCAUACAGAGCCUCAAAAGAAGAAAUGAAAUCAAUUUCCUUCCCAAUUAUCCCUGUGGACAGACUAAGGACAGUCUGGAAACCAAGAGGCUUGAGAUGGUGGACCAAUUUAAGAAGACAGUAGCAGAAAGGCACAUGAUUCUGAGCCAUCAGCAUAUGCAACACACUAUUGCUUUCAGGCAUGAAGAAAUUAUGAAUAUGGCCUGCCAUUGUCAAACUAAAAAAUAGAUUGCCUGCCCUCUUUUGUAAAGUAAAAAUUUUACUUGGACCCACAUAAUGUCAGUCAUCUUUGCAGCAGUGCUUGAUCUGGAAAAAGGUAUUGAAUAGUUUAAUAUAGAUUGUUUAUUUUUCUGUCCUUUUGCUCCCAUUGCUGCUCUAAAGCGAAUUCCACAGGAUAACAAGAUCAAAAUCUGCCACUUUCAUUCUAUUCUUCACUUUGACAAAUAUAUACCUCAGCUGCUGAAACUCAACAAAAAGAGAAAAACAGGAAAUUUUGGUGAGAAGAGAUGGCAUAUGAAGAACAGAUUAAUUUGCUGAUAUGAUACCUCUGAUCUUCUGGGAAGACUUUCCACUAGAUUUGGAGCAUGCAUGUUGCUAUAUUAACCUUGGCAACCCAUGUCUUUAUUGACCUUGCUCUCCAUUCUGGAGAUGCACAGCAGCCUUUCACCGACAGUGCUCUAUGUGUGUGAUUUUGUUAUCAGCCAACAUGCCAAGCCCGGAAAUCAGCUCUGUCUUGGGACACUGCGACUCCUGUGAUGUCAGCAGCUGCCUAGGCAUUCUUCCACUAGAUGUCAGCAAUUGAAUGUGGUUGACCAUGUCCUUGUUUUUACAGUAGCCUACAGUGAUUGAAAGAGAAAAGUAAAAGAGGGAACCAAAUCUAUAUUCAAAAUAUUAAAAAAUUCAAAAAAGUCCAUCCAUCCAUCCAUUCAGAUCCAGCCAGAUUCAGGAAUGUUUUGCUGAAUGUAUUUUUGUUAUUUUUUUAUUUCAUCUGCUGAUCACUUUCUUUAGGAACCUGUAAUACUACUAUAAUCAUUAGAGCACAAUAUACUUCUCUGAAUUUGGAGCAGGAAAAAUGAGGUUUUGCCUUCUGCUGGGGGGUGGAGUUUUAAGAAAACAGCAAACUGUUAGGCACAGGCAAGAAAAAAAAUGUUCACUAAGGUCAGCGUGUCAAAGUGAGUGCAGUUGGUUGUCACAUCUUCUAAUCUGCGUCUUCUAAAGCAGACCUCUUUAGAGUUAUUAGUCACUGUCUGGUGGUAAAGUUGACCUGCUGUCCUAUACUGUAUGUCUGUUUUUGCAUAUGCAGUUUAGUAGCAACGACUAUAGGUCGAACGAAUAUUUCUUCAGAGGUCUCAGGUGGGGUGCUGUUCCCUCUCUCAAAUUAGCUCCCUCUCAGGAGAUACAGUAAAUUCUCUUGAACAAGGUGGAUGUUUGACUUAUCAUCGCUCACUGCCAUUUCUUCCAACCUAUUUUUUUUUGUGUGUGUCACGGAGAGUCAGUUGUAGCUCAUUGUAGAGUUUACUAGCGCAUCAUUGUGUGCCCUUGGCAUCCUUUCUUCCUCUUACUAGCAACUGUUGUAUGCUGUUUUUUUCUGUAGGCUCUGGGACUCACUUACAGUGGCUAACGUGAAUCCAGCACCACCCAACUGCCUAGCUGGAGAUACUUCAGAUCUGUUUCUGUUGCCUUGGGCAGUGCUUCUUUCACCUGCUUAUGCAUUUUAGACAGAAUAGAAGACAGGGUUUUAUAAUAACACAGCAUAUAAUUUUUAUCCUGGCUGCUGAUUAUUCUGGGGUUGUGUCCUGGCCCAGUGACUGUAUUGGGGGAUCUGCCAGACUAUAUCUCAAACAGGCUUAGGUUUGCUCUCCCUCUUGUUUUUGUUCUUUUGUAGAAUAACACAAUAGGGGGUACUUUGGUCCGUGACAGGCCUGUUUCAUCAAAGCAUUUGGCCAAUUUAUUCUUUAGUGUGCCAUUCUUGGGCUCUACUGCUACUCCAUUCGCAUUGGUAUGCGAUUUUGUCUUGGGUCUAUGCCAAAUAUUCUCCCACUCGUUGAAGUGCUUGAUUUACAAAUGGAGUCCCAUUGUCACUACUGAACUUAUCAGAGAUUCCCAUUGAGGGAUAAUUUCAGAGAGGAGUAUUUUAGCUACUUAACUUGCAUUUUGUUUGGAAGUGUGGAAAGCUUCCACCCAUUUAGAGAACACAUUUAAUAUUACUAGACAGUAUUUUUUCCCUUUACUGGGCAUCAAUUUAAUGACAUCUGUCUGUAGGUGUUCAAAGCACAUGUACAUCUUUCAAAGAACACAAAGUUUCUUUGCACACUGAAGAUUUCUGUGUAGAUCCCUUUGCUGCCGCAUCCGGCAUUACCCUGCAAAAUUGAAUCUUCUAUAUAUGUGCUCCACAUUUACAUAUGGCAUUAGAUUUUGGUAAUAGGAUUGCAUUCAGCAGCUCAGAAUUCAGGGCACUGUGCAUGAUUUUUUAAAAACUUUUUUCCAUAAUGUGCCAAAAUCAUGUACUAUUCUGAAAGCAUAUGUGCAAUUAGUAUAAAAUAUCGACUGUUUUGCUCUGUACUAAUUUUCAUGGUUCUUUAGAGUAAUUAGCUCUGCUGCUUGUGCUGAGAGGUGUUCUGCUAGUGAUUCAGCUUUCACUAUUUUAAGUCGUGACUACUUCAUACCCCAUGCAACUAUGGCAUGUUUUCUGAAGGCUGAUUCAUCUGCAAACAGUUCAAGGUCUGAAUUCUGCAAUGGUGUCUCCUGCAAAACAUAUCUGGGGCUGCAAAUUUCAUUUACAACUGCUACACAAUUGUGUUGUUCUCUAUCAGAUUUUUUGAAAAUAAUAGUUUUGAAUUUAGUACAGAACAGCAUUUCACUUUGACAUUUGGCUUUACAAUGACUGCAUUAUAUCCCAACCAUCAUGGAGCUGUUUUCUGUUCAGGGAGAAGAAGUGAAACUGGAACAAAAAGGGUAAGGUCACUGUAUCCACCAAUAUCUCUAGAAGCAUUGGCUGCUUUUUCAGCAAAUACAUUGGAUCCAGUUUAGCUGAAAAUGAUCUUGUUCCAUCAUGAUCUUGCAAUAAUACUGAUGUAAUACUGGGUCGAUUGUCUCAUCUGCUGUCUUCAUGAAUGGUUUGUUUGUAUCUGGUAUACCUAUUUGGUUUAUAAUGCUAGCUUCAAAUCUUACAAAGGCCUUUUCUGCUUCAAGUGUCUUACUAAGUGCACUGUGCACCUGUAAACACUUUCCAAGAACUAUUGCACUUAAGGGAGCCUCAAAGAUUGCAAAAGUAGGUACUGUAUGAAGCUUCUGCGAUAAGAACACAUGCCUAAAAAUGACAUUACUUGUUUCUUUGUUUUAGGCUUUGGAAUGUUCUCUAUAACUCUGUUUUAUGUUCUAUGCGUUUACCUUGUUCUGAUAUCAGAUGUUCCAUCAAGAAUUUAAACUGCUGAACAAAUUGCAGUUUUCAAGCUUCAUUGUAAAUGGUUGGAGAUUCACAAUGUGAUUUUCCAUUAAUAUAAAAUGCAAAGUGAAAUUAGGUAUACUGCAUUUUACAAGGCCUAUAUGUCAGGAUCCAGCCCAGAAUUUGGCCAUGUGCUUUUGUUUAUGUUUUGUGUUCACAUGUCUGCCCCGCCCUUAUCUCUUUGUCCCCGCCUCUGCACACCUGUUCCUGAUGUGUUAAUUGUCUUGUGUAUUUAACCGUGUCAUGUUGCUUAUGGCGGCACGAAAUCCUCGUCAUUUGUCAUGUCUUUUGUCGAGCCCUUGUCUCUGUUUUGUGUGUUUUUAAGUUAA